rnacentral:lncRNA from 1 species
CUUAUCUAAUAGUAUGCUAAUAAAUAUUUAACAGUUGGAUCUCUGGAAAAAGAAAGUCUGUCUAUAGUGGUUGCCAAUUUCUGUGGUAUAAACACUCCCAUCGUUUCAAUAUCAAGUUACCAUGUAGUGUCAGAAUGCAGAGUUGGAAAGAAAGGCUAAGAAUUGGCUCUCACAAGCCAGUAUGAGCUGGCUUUAGCACACCAGUGACAUUAGAUGGGAGAAAGAAGAUACCCCAUAGCUCAGAUUUAUUUAAAAAUAUAAUGUCAAGAGUUCCUGUUGUGGCUCAGUGGAAAUAAAUCUGACUAGUAUCCAGGAGGACGCAGGUUCAGUCCCUGGCCCCAGUGUUGCCUUGAGCUAUGGUAUAGGUCUCAGAUGUUGGAUCUGGCAUUGCUGUGGCUGUGGCAUAGGCCAGCAGCUGCAGCUCUGAUUUGAUCCCUAGCCUGGGAACCUCCAUAUGUUGUGGGUGGGGCCCUAAAAAGACAACAACAACAACAAAAGUCAAAUGUGAAGCACUUAACUGAAAUAAAUAUACAAUUAUAUCAGACCCAUAAAAGAGAAAUAUGUUGUUCCUAAUAGCAGUAAAACAAUUUUUUUUUUUUCUAGACAUGUCCUGGCAAUUCCUCUUUUUGCUACUUUUUGGAGUUGUUCUCUGGAAAAUUUCCUGAUAUUGCCAGGAAGCUGCCACUUUGAAGGAUUUCAUCUCUGAAAGAGAAAGACUAGGAGGUGAGACCUUGGGAGGCCAAGUGCUGUCCGUGGCUGAGCUGGAGAGUACCUGUGUUGAGCGUGUCAUUCAUCUUAAAGUGAUUGACCAUUUAUGGGGAUGGUGAGAAGGAGAAGAGCAUAAAGCAGAUCAAUGGAAAGAAGGCAGAAAAUGGAGAAACAGGAAGAAGGAGACUGAGUUGGGGGAGUACUGGGAGAGCAAUGGAUUUGAGGAAAAGAUGAAGAUGAUAAGAUUAUGUGUGAUGGUAAAACAAAGUAAAUACCCAGUGUGGAGAGAAGAGUUUCUCAGCUGGCCAGUGAACCCAAGACUUAUGAAGUUACUGUGAUCAAAAAUAAAGUCAUUUGAACUCUGAUAGAGAAAAGAUACAUUUAAACAGCCUGGAGAAGCAGAUAUCAAUGUCUCCUGCUGCCGGACAUGGCUGUGUGGCCCAGUUUUGGACAAUGAGAGGUAAAGAGAGGUCUUUCAAAGGUUUCUGGGAAGGAGAGUCCUCUUCUAGAUAAGGAAUAAGAGUGGAAAUUGUUCUAUACUGCUUCCAGUUUCCUGUCUUUGAGGAUAUGUAACUUAGAGUUCAUGUGAAAUAGCAUCCCUUGCUGCCAUCAGGAAAUACUGAGAACCUCAGCGUCACCAACCCAAGACCUGACACUGCUAAACUUCUGAAUCAAGGCCAAAAACUGCCUCCCUUUUCCAUAAGAAAAUUGAGUCUUUCAUUAAGCCAGUAUUUGGUUAUUUGAUAUAUGCAGUCAAAAGAAUUCCUGACAGAUACGGUAUAAUACCAGGCAUGUUUCCACUCCUGGCUUUAUUUUAAUCUUUAAGGUUUGAGAAAAAAUGCCCGUCACUCCAUUUUCU